GUUUCCAGCUAGCUCCCAUGAACAGAUUUCAGAACAUCUGACCAGUCACUACCCAAAACUUCAAGAUCUAACAGGGGGAUGGCUGCUUUAUAAAGCAUUAAGAGGUUCUGGACGGAGAAAACUUUCACUUAUACCUCCAGAGACUGAGGGUUACCAUGGAAACCUUUUGAAAACUGUGACAGUAGGAGGAAAAAACAUGAUCUACAUAUUUCCACUUCAGGAGAAAACUGAUAUGUCUCCUCUUCCUCUGGAUGCUCUAGAACUUCAAAGCAUGCCUAAAGCAUCAUGGGAAGUUUGCAGUGUUACCUUGCAGUUUAUUCUCAUCAUGAAAGCAGUGCUAAUGAAGGUACUCCAGUGGCAUCAACAUCAAGUACAAAUGAUGCCAGUUUCCCUGGAACACAUCUGUUUUUAAUUUGAGGCAGCUUGUCCAGUAUGUGAAGAGGAAUAUCUGCUGGAUAUUUUACAGAUCCAUGCCAGCUGUUGUGGAGACAGUCUUGAGGAGACCUCACCCAGACCAGAACAGGUUUCCAAAUCACUUGGAGGUUCACUGAAAAAGUCACUGACACAUGUUAAUAUAUCAUUUAUUGCUGACACAUUUCACACAUAGGUGAUCAUGUUAAUUAUUUUUUUAUUUUUAUUAUUUACUUUAAAAUAAAUAUAUAUAAUUUUCUGUAUUUAAAUCACACACAAUAUAAUUU